rnacentral:rRNA from 1 species
UAGUUGGUGGAGCGAUUUGUCUGGUUAAUUCCGUUAACGAACGAGACCACAGGGUUUUAUUCUUUUCUUUUUAUGUAAAUAAGAAUGUUUUAUGUAGAUUAAACCGACUUUUAAUUCUUUAAAUUAAAGGAAGUUUGUGGCAAUAACAGGUC